UUGGCUCAGGAUGAACGCUAGCGGCAGGCUUAACACAUGCAAGUCGAGGGGCAUCGGGAGUAGCAAUACUUGCCGGCGACCGGCGCAAGGGUGCGUAACGCGUGAGCAACAUGCCCGUAUCAGGGGGAUAAUCCAUGGAAACGUGGUCUAAUACCCCAUAGUAAUUAUGUAAGGCAUCUUAUAUAAUUUUAAAGCUUUGGUGGAUACGGAUUGGCUCGCGUGACAUUAGCUGGAUGGUAAGGUAACGGCUUACCAUGGCUACGAUGUCUAGGGGUUCUGAGAGGAAGGUCCCCCACACUGGAACUGAGACACGGUCCAGACUCCUACGGGAGGCAGCAGUGAGGAAUAUUGGACAAUGGAUGGAAAUCUGAUCCAGCCAUGCCGCGUGCAGGAAGAACCGGCCCUAUGGGUUGUAAACUGCUUUUGUAUGGGAGCAAUAAGGGCUACGUGUAGUCCGAUGAGAGUACCAUACGAAUAAGCACCGGCUAACUCCGUGCCAGCAGCUGC
rnacentral:rRNA from 1 species